UACGUAGGGGGCUAGCGUUGUCCGGAAUCAUUGGGCGUAAAGAGCGUGUAGGCGGUCCGGUAAGUCCGCUGUGAAAGUCGGGGGCUCAACCCUCGAAUGCCGGUGGAUACUGUCGGGCUUGAGUACGGAAGAGGCGAGUGGAAUUCCUGGUGUAGCGGUGAAAUGCGCAGAGUAUCUGGAAGGAACACCGGUGGCGAAGGCGGCGUCCUGGAGCCAAUACUGACACUGAGUGAGCGAAAGCCAGGGAGCAAAGCGGG
rnacentral:rRNA from 1 species